UGUUAGCGGCGGACGGGUGAGUAACACGUGGGUAACCUACCUAUAAGACUGGGAUAACUCCGGGAAACCGGGGCUAAUACCGGAUAAUAUUUUGAACCGCAUGGUUCGAUAGUGAAAGACGGUUUCGGCUGUCACUUAUAGAUGGACCCGCGCCGUAUUAGCUAGUUGGUAAGGUAACGGCUUACCAAGGCGACGAUACGUAGCCGACCUGAGAGGGUGAUCGGCCACACUGGAACUGAGACACGGUCCAGACUCCUACGGGAGGCAGCAGGA
rnacentral:rRNA from 1 species